ACCCAAUGUAGAAACUCUCUAACGGACAUGAUGAGUUUUGCCUGCUAGAUGAUUCUGCAUCUCAUUAAGCCGACAGUCAGGAUUAAGUAUUAAAGCUGGCUUUGGGGAAAUUGCCUAAACUCUCCGAGCCACUGUUUCCCCAGCUGACUGAAGAUGCCCAAGGUCUUCAUGACUGUUAGAAACCUCUCUCAAGAUUCCCUAAAUUCUUGGCAUCAUUUCCCCCAACUGGGUGAUAUUCUGAUGGUGGAAAUGAUGAAAUGGAACACCGGGGGACAGUGCUGGGACACGCGCAGCUGUGUAACCAAUUGGAGUUCCCCAAGGGAGACCUAUCACCCCCCCUCAAGGCCUGAGAACUUGACAUCUGCCCUCAGCCAUGCUCCACAGCAGAAGGUGUUAACCAUCCUAUGUUAGAGAAAACCAAGGCUCAGAGAUGCUCGUUCACCAAAGGACCCAGCUGGGACUCAGUGACAGGUGAGACCAGAACCAUGCCUGUUGGCUCCGGGAGCCACAUUCUGAACAGAAAGAACACAGGAUCAGGACCCUGGAUCGGGUUCUAAGACACAAUACUGAACUUGCUGUGUGGCCUGGGGAAGAUUCUUGUCCUUUCUGGGCCUGUUCUGUUUUGUUUUUAUUUUUUGAUGCAUGUAAGUAUGAUAUUGACGGUGUACAUGUAUGUGGUAUGUGUACACACAUGUGUAUGUAGGUAUAUGCUCCCA